GGAGUUAGCCGGUGCUUCUUCUGUGAGUGAUGUCCUUCCUGCCGGUUAUUGACCCGCAGGCCUUCUUCCUCACUGAAAGUGCUUUACAACCCGAAGGCCUUCUUCACACACGCGGCAUGGCUGGAUCAGGGUUGCCCCCAUUGUCCAAUAUUCCCCACUGCUGCCUCCCGUAGGAGUCUGGGCCGUGUCUCAGUCCCAGUGUGGCUGAUCAUCCUCUCAGACCAGCUACGGAUCGUCGCCUUGGUGAGCCGUUACCUCACCAACCAGCUAAUCCGACAUAGGCUCAUCCGAUAGCGCGAGGCCCGAAGGUCCCCCGCUUUCCCCCGUAGGGCGUAUGCGGUAUUAGCCUGGGUUUCCCCAGGUUAUCCCCCACUACCGGGCAGAUUCCUAUGCAUUACUCACCCGUCCGCCGCUCGCCACCAGGGAGCAAGCUCCCCGUGCUGCCGCUCGACUUGCNUGUGUAGCGUCGCCGCCACGCGUCAUCUGAGCGAGACUACAACUACUGA
rnacentral:rRNA from 1 species